UGCACAGGAAUGGGGUUGCUGCUUCAUACAGAAAAAAAAAAAAGACAUUGCAGUGGAGGGAAACAAAUCAAAUAAAUAAAAAGCAAACUAAGAAAAGAACCAAACCAACAACAACUAAAAAAGAAGGUUCCUUCCCUCCGUGGUUGGAGCGUCGCAGAGGGUGAUCCGAGCAGCGGCUCAAUCUCCGGGAGCCAGCAGUGCUGUGCCUAAACUGGUAAAUUUUAGCUGAAGGAGAAACCCACGUGGAAAGGGUGCCGAGAGGAGGAGCUGCGGUCCAAGGGCAGCUGAAAGCCCCGUUCCCAUCCCUCGGCGGGACCAUCUCCCACCUGGACCCCGGGACACCCCCACCCCGACCGGGCUGCGGGACCACCCCCCGGCAAAAAGCGGCUCCUGCCAAAAAUCUCCUGGGAGGGGCUGGGAGAUACAUCUGCUGGAAGAUACUAGGAGGGAAGGAAAAACUGCUGGUACAGAUGAGCCGCAAAGCUCUGCGUAUUUGUUUCCAAUCAGCAUCAACACCGCGCCCCACCCUCCUUUUAAUUUUAGGGGUUAAAAUCGAAGUGUAUUUCCUCAGCAGGUACCUAAAGGAAGAACCCUGAUGUUUGCUCUGUUUGCAUUUGUGGGCUUUUAUGCAUUUGUUCCUCCCAAGUAGCUAUUAUCGCUGUUAAUGAUUGUAAAUACGUAAAAAAAAACGUUAAAAAAGUGAAUUCGUGGCUAGCAGAGAGCGCUCCUCACUCUCCUGCCAAUUAGAUUAAGGAUGUCGAUUUGAGUUAGGGAGCAUCCUUCAAUUUUAAGGGAGAGGUGCUUGAAGUCAAGAAUGCCUUUUAUGUUUUGCUGUUUGUUUGCUUGUUUUUCUCUUUUAUCGAAGGCUUUUUCCUUUUAGUAUUUAAGCCAUGUUGGAAGAAGACAUUUCUCCUCCGUGCUCCUUUAGGCUGUCCCUCCCUCGGAUGCUCCAGACGGGAGGGAAACAGGCGUAAUUUGGGAGGUUUUGUUGUUUUUAAAAAACGUUUGUCGUGCUGUAACCAUUAUUCUGAGGAUCCUACGAGGUUUUCAUUCACCGGCUUUCAGGACUCCUUUCUUCAUGUUGCAGCCGGCCCAACUGGAGACUCCGGAGAAAAAAAGAAAAACAAUUAAAAAUAAUAAGAAUAAAAAUAUAAAGCAACCUUCCUCCUUUCCUCCCCGCCACCCCAAAACUAAGCUGCACUCCAAGCCAGGCUUCGCUUCGGGAGUCAAAUUACCCCUCUUUCCACCGGGACGCGUGAGAGUCAUUUUAUCUGCCUGAACUUUAGGACAAAGCUGUUUUCCAGAGGAAAUUUCCACUCCUGCUGCCGCCUUACACCAGAGGGCGCCAGGAGCCUUGCCAGGCUUUGCUGCCUGAAGUGGUGCUGGAAAUUAACUCUUUGGGCGCUCUCCCUGAAUGUUGUUUUAACCUUUCAAUUUUAAAAUAUACAACUGGAUUCUAGCUCUCUUUUUUUUUCUUUUUCUUUUUUCUUUUUUUUUUUUUUUUUUUCACUCGUAUAAAAUGCGUGUUGGUUUGUUCUGGUUUGGGUUUGUAAGAUUUUUUCCCCCCCGUCCUUGUAGUACCCUUUCCCAGCUCUGCAGGGCUUCACCCUCCAGCAGCAGUCCCCUGGGACUCUCAGGAGAUGUACAGCUUUGCUCUGUCUCUGCUAAUUCGAUUCUAAUUAAAUCACUGGUCACGUUUGCAUGACGUUACCAUGUUGUCCCUCAUAAACUUAGGGGCUGAAACUUGUCUGGCUGUGUUUAAGCUUAAAGAGUCACUUAGGGCUCUUCAAGCAGAACAGCUAAAGCAUGGCACCAGAGGGGAAACAGUGUGGUGAGGGCCUGGCACAGGUUGCCCAGAGAAGCUGUGGCUGCCCCAUCCCUGGAAAUGUUCAAAGCCAAGUGGGACAGGACUUGGAGCAACCUGGGCUAUUGAAGGGUGUCCUGGCCCACAUAUGCAUGGGGUAAGGUCUCCAACAGAGCUUAUAAUUCUAAAUAAAUUACCAAAAAGGAAGAGAAAUAGUAAAAAAGAGAAGAAGAAAGAAUAAACUAUUAGGAUAGGUCAUUUCCAUGUUUCCUGUAAAUAUUUAUCAAGAAGCUAGAUAUGAUUUUGCUAUUCACAUCUGAGGAUCAACAGAAAUGCAAAUAAUUAUUUUAAAAAUCUGAGCAUAAAACAUAAAACCCAACAAAUAAAAACAUUGUAAUUCUGGAGGCUGGUGGGAAAACCGUGAAAGAGAAAUGUCGUUGUGCUAUUUAAAUUAAAAGAUGGCUUAAAAAAAUA